rnacentral:lncRNA from 1 species
CAGACCGAGUUCGUGUCUAGUCAAAGUUAUAAAAUCGAUAGCUUCAUCUUAUGUAACCAAUCAAUAGCGUUAGAACAGACCUCUUUUAAACUCAUGGUGUGAAUGAAUUAACCAGCUGUUUGGCUGAAUUGACUGAGCUGUUUCUACUAUAAUGUGGACACAGUCUGAGAGUGAGUGAAAUGUUAGCAGGUCUUUGACUUUUUCUAGUCCAAAGAAAGAGAAAGCAAAAGAAGUGAAGCACAUAUAAUACAAGGGAAUGAUGAGGCAGGCAGCAAUCAGUAGCCUACUGACAGGUACCAAGUACAAUACUCGAUUUCACAGGAACUCCUCUCUAUUUCGAAAGUAAUUUUAAAAUAAAGAAAUGUUGAGCAGAGACAACAUGAGGAAGAUGAAGAAAAAGGCUAACUUUAAAGAAAACUACACACCCAGAGAUGCUCUCCUGAGGCCCAGACCACCACGGCCAGUCAUGGGGGAGGAGUGGCGUUGGCGAUUCAGGACUGCUUUUUCCCUCUUCAGUGCCUCUCUCAACAACAUGAAGGUAGGGUCACAUGACUGCCAGUGCAGACCAAGCCACAGUCAAAUGUCUAAAACUAAUCUUGCCCCUUGGGCAAAAGAACUUGAAGAAUACAAGUCCGUAAUCAAAGGGUAAGUAUCAAUCUAGUUUUGCUGCCUGUCUGAUCCUGAAUUUAUUUCCAAUCUACCUUCUUCCUAAGUCCUAGUUUUUGCCCAAUUUUUAUGACUAAAUAUCUGCUUUAUUUUCUAUGUUUCAGCCCC